GCCAUGUUGGCCAGGCUGGUCUCGAACUCCUGACCUCAGGUGAUUCGUCCAUCCGGCCUCCUAAAGUGCUGAGAUUACAGGCAUGAGCUAUCGUGCUCAGCCUACAAACAUAAAUUCUUAAGAUUGGCUGCAUCUUAUCUUCCCAUAAGAUUUGACUGUACUGCUUAUUGCAAAUUAUUUCAUAAAGUGCGUCCUAAAUUCACCUGAUAAUUGAAGUAGCAGUUUGUUUUAGCUAAUUGCCUUUAUCUGAAGGAAUAAUAAAAUUUCUCUUAUUUCUAUGACAAGCAAUAUCAUUUCAUCUCAGAAAAAGAUGCCUAGGUUGAAUUCCCACAAUGACAAGGAGAUAGGGGUUUUAUUUUCCUAGAUGUUUAUAUUUGAGAGGAAUUACUCGCAGACCCUUGAAAAAACAUGUCAGGGUUAUAAAGCUGACAAGGGACUUACUCAUCUUCUAAUUGGGUUUUUU
rnacentral:lncRNA from 10 species